UACGUAGGGUGCAAGCGUUGUCCGGAAUUAUUGGGCGUAAAGAGCUCGUAGGCGGUUUGUCGCGUCUGCUGUGAAAACCCGAGGCUCAACCUCGGGCCUGCAGUGGGUACGGGCAGACUAGAGUGCGGGAGAGGAGAGUGGAAUUCCUGGUGUAGCGGUGGAAUGCGCAGAUAUCAGGAAGAACACCCGUGGCGAAGGCGGCUCUCUGGAACGCAACUGACGCUGAGACGCGAAAGCGUGGGGAGCAAACAGG
rnacentral:rRNA from 1 species